AGAGUUUGAUCCUGGCUCAGGAUGAACGCUAGCGGCAGGCUUAAUACAUGCAAGUCGAGGGGCAGCACGUCUUAGGAUGGUGGCGACCGGCGCACGGGUGCGUAACACGUAUGCAACCUACCUUUAACUGGGGAAUAGCCCCGAGAAAUCGGGAUUAAUACCCCAUAAUAUUCAUCUUUCGCAUGUCUGAUGAAUUAAAACUCCGGUGGUUAAAGAUGGGCAUGCGCGACAUUAGUUAGUUGGUGAGGUAACGGCUCACCAAGACCGCGAUGUCUAGGGGUUCUGAGAGGAAUAUCCCCCACACUGGUACUGAGACACGGACCAGACUCCUACGGGAGGCAGCAGUAAGGAAUAUUGGUCAAUGGGCGAAAGCCUGAACCAGCCAUGCCGCGUGCAGGAUGACGGCCCUAUGGGUUGUAAACUGCUUUUAUAUAGGAAGAAACUCCCGCUCGUGAGCGGGACUGACGGUACUAUACGAAUAAGGACCGGCUAACUCCGUGCCAGCAGCCGCGGUAAUACGGAGGGUCCAAGCGUUAUCCGGAUUUAUUGGGUUUAAAGGGUGCGCAGGCGGACCGAUAAGUCAGUGGUGAAAUCCUACAGCUCAACUGUAGAACUGCCAUUGAUACUGUCGAUCUUGAGUACAGUUGAAGUGGGCGGAAUGUAUCAUGUAGCGGUGAAAUGCAUAGAUAUGAUACAGAACUCCGAUAGCGAAGGCAGCUCACUAACCUGUAACUGACGCUCAGGCACGAAAGCGUGGGGAGCAAACAGGAUUAGAUACCCUGGUAGUCCACGCCGUAAACGAUGAUCACUCGUUGUUGGCAAUACAUCGUCAGCGACUGAACGAAAGCAUUAAGUGAUCCACCUGGGAAGUACGAUCGCAAGGUUGAAACUCAAAGGAAUUGACGGGGGCCCGCACAAGCGGAGGAGCAUGUGGUUUAAUUCGAUGAUACGCGAGGAACCUUACCUGGGCUUAAAUGUAAAUGACCUCCCGUGAAAACGGGAUUCUCUUCGGAGCAUUUUACAAGGUGCUGCAUGGUUGUCGUCAGCUCGUGCCGUGAGGUGUCGGGUUAAGUCCCAUAACGAGCGCAACCCCUAUUCUUAGUUGCCAUCAGAUAAUGCUGGGGACUCUAAGGAAACUGCCUACGCAAGUAGUGAGGAAGGUGGGGAUGACGUCAAAUCAGCACGGCCCUUAUGUCCAGGGCUACACACGUGCUACAAUGGUCGGUACAGAGGGUCGCUACCUGGUGACAGGAUGCUAAUCUCAAAAACCGAUCUCAGUUCGGAUCGAAGUCUGCAACUCGACUUCGUGAAGCUGGAUUCGCUAGUAAUCGCAUAUCAGCAAUGGUGCGGUGAAUACGUUCCCGGGCCUUGUACACAC
rnacentral:rRNA from 1 species